rnacentral:rRNA from 1 species
GACGAACGCUGGCGGCGUGCUUAACACAUGCAAGUCGAACGGAAAGGCCCUGCUUUUGUGGGGUGCUCGAGUGGCGAACGGGUGAGUAACACGUGAGUAACCUGCCCUUGACUUUGGGAUAACUUCAGGAAACUGGGGCUAAUACCGGAUAGGAGCUCCUGCUGCAUGGUGGGGGUUGGAAAGUUUCGGCGGUUGGGGAUGGACUCGCGGCUUAUCAGCUUGUUGGUGGGGUAGUGGCUUACCAAGGCUUUGACGGGUAGCCGGCCUGAGAGGGUGACCGGCCACAUUGGGACUGAGAUACGGCCCAGACUCCUACGGGAGGCAGCAGUGGGAAUAUUGCACAAUGGGUGGAAGCCUGAUGCAGCAACGCCGCGUGCGGGAUGACGGCCUUCGGGUUGUAAACCGCUUUCGCCUGUGACGAAGCGUGAGUGACGGUAAUGGGUAAAGAAGCACCGGCUAACUACGUG